CAUGUUGUUCUGCUAAGGUAGUUUGUGUUGAUAUAUGCAAAGAAGUGAUGCGAUAUAAAAAGCUAUUAGGACAAUGUACUCGACUCGAAAGAGGAUCGGAAUCGUGAGAGGAAGAUUAGAUUACUAGUAUUAUGUGGUUAGAGAC
rfam:Orientia tsutsugamushi str. Sido sido.contig.9_1, whole genome shotgun sequence.